rnacentral:rRNA from 1 species
GACGAACGCUGGCGGCGUGCUUAACACAUGCAAGUCGAACGGAAAGGCCCUGCUUUUGUGGGGGGCUCGAGUGGCGAACAGGUGAGUAACACGUGAGUAACCUGCCCUUGACUUUGGGAUAACUUCAGGAAACUGGGGCUAAUACCGGAUAGGAGCUCCUGCUGCAUGGUGGGGGUUGGAAAGUUUCGGCGGUUGGGGAUGGACUCGCGGCUUAUCAGCUUGUUGGUGGGGUAGUGGCUUACCAAGGCUUUGACGGGUAGCCGGCCUGAGAGGGUGACCGGCCACAUUGGGCCUGAGAUACGGCCCAGACUCCUACGGGAGGCAGCAGUGGGGAAUAUUGCACAAUGGGCGGAAGCCUGAUGCAGCAACGCCGCGUGCGGGAUGACGGCCUUCGGGUUGUAAACCGCUUUCGCCUGUGACGAAGCGUGAGUGACGGUAAUGGGUAAAGAAGCACCGGCUAACUACGUG